rnacentral:rRNA from 1 species
CGAAAAAUAACGAUACGGGACUCAUCCGAGGCCCCGUAAUCGGAAUGAGUACACUCUAAACUCUUUAACGAGGAUCAAUUGGAGGGCAAGUCUGGUGCCAGCAGCCGCGGUAAUUCCAGCUCCAAUAGCGUAUAUUAAAGUUGUUGCGGUUAAAAAGCUCGUAGUCGAAUUUGUGUCCCGCGCCGCCGGUUCAUCGCUCGCGGUGUCUACUGGCGUGUCGCGGGACGUCCUGCCGGUGGGCUUAGCCUCUACGGGGGCGGCCCAAUCUCAAUCCCACCGCGGUGCUCUUCACUGAGUGUCGAGGUGGGCCGGCACGUUUACUUUGAACAAAUUAGAGUGCUUAAAGCAGGCUAAAACAUCGCCUGAAUAUUGUGUGCAUGGAAUAAUGGAAUAGGACCUCGGUUCUAUUUUGUUGGUUUUCGGAACCCCGAGGUAAUGAUUAAUAGGAACGGAUGGGGGCAUUCGUAUUGCGACGCUAGAGGUGAAAUUCUUGGAUCGUCGCAAGACGGACAGAAGCGAAAGCAUUUGCCAAAAACGCUUUCAUUGAUCAAGAACGAAAGUUAGAGGUUCGAAGGCGAUCAGAUACCGCCCUAGUUCUAACCAUAAACGAUGCCAGCUAGCGAUCCGCCGACGUUCCUCCGAUGACUCGGCGGGCAGCUUCCGGGAAACCAAAGCUUUUGGGUUCCGGGGGAAGUAUGGUUGCAAAGCUGAAACUUAAAGGAAUUGACGGAAGGGCACCACCAGGAGUGGAGCCUGCGGCUUAAUUUGACUCAACACGGGAAACCUCACCAGGCCCGGACACCGGAAGGAUUGACAGAUUGAGAG